AACGAACGCUGGCGGCAUGCCUAACACAUGCAAGUCGAACGAGACCUUCGGGUCUAGUGGCGCACGGGUGCGUAACGCGUGGGAACCUGCCCUUAGGUUCGGAAUAACUCCCCGAAAGGGGUGCUAAUACCGGAUAAUGGCUUCGGACCAAAGAUUUAUCGCCUUUGGAUGGUCCCGCGUUGGAUUAGCUAGUUGGUAGGGUAAAAGCCUACCAAGGCGACGAUCCAUAGCUGGUCUGAGAGGAUGAUCAGCCACACUGGGACUGAGACACGGCCCAGACUCCUACGGGAGGCAGCAGUGGGGAAUAUUGGACAAUGGGCGAAAGCAUGAUCCAGCAAUGCCGCGUGAGUGAUGAAGGCCUUAGGGUUGUAAAGCUCUUUUACCCGGGAUGAUAAUGACAGUACCGGGAGAAUAAGCUCCGGCUAACUCCGUG
rnacentral:rRNA from 1 species